AUGAAGAACGUAGCGAAAUGCGAUAAGUAAUGUGAAUUGCAGAAUUCAGUGAAUCAUCGAAUCUUUGAACGCACAUUGCGCCCCCUGGUAUUCCGGGGGGCAUGCCUGUUCGAGCGUCAUUUCAACCCUCAAGCUCUGCUUGGUAUUGAGUCCAUGUCAGCAAUGGCAGGCUCCAAAAUCAGUGGCGGCGCCGCUGGGUCCUGAACGUAGUAAUAUCUCUCGUUACAGGUGCUCGGCGUGCUUCUGCCAAAACCCCAAUUUUUCUAUGGUUGACCUCGGAUCAGGUAGGGAUACCCGCUGAACUUAAGCAUAUCAAUAAGCGGAGGA
rnacentral:misc_RNA from 1 species